rnacentral:piRNA from 1 species
UCCCUUCAGAAUAUCAGAGGGCUGGAGAA